AUGACGCUGUGGCUGCAAAUGACAAGGGUUAACAGCCAACUAGGACAAGAGAAUCUUCAGGUUCUGAGCAUCCAGGAGGGUGAAGACGUCACUGUGAACUGCAGUUACAAGACAUCCACAUUGGCCUUACAGUGGUACAGACAGGAGUCCAGCAAAGGCCCUGCCCUGCUCGUGUUGAUACGCUCAAAUGAGAGAGAGAAACUUCACGGAAGACUAAGAGCCACUCUUGACACCUCCACCCAGAGCAGUUCCCUGUCCAUCACUGCUGUCCUGGCUGUAGACGCUGGUGUAUACUUCUGUGCUACAGAUGCACAGUGUGCAGCAGGCACCUGCAGUCCUGACACAAACCCCCAGAGCUGCUGCCUAAACCCUGACAGAGGGUGA